rnacentral:rRNA from 1 species
AUUGAACGCUGGCGGCAUGCUUUACACAUGCAAGUCGAACGGUAACAGGGUGCUUGCACCGCUGACGAGUGGCGAACGGGUGAGUAAUGCGUCGGAACGUGCCGAGUAGUGGGGGAUAACGCAUCGAAAGGUGUGCUAAUACCGCAUACGUACUGAGGUAGAAAGUGGGGGACCUUCGGGCCUCACGCUAUUCGAGCGGCCGACGUCUGAUUAGCUAGUUGGUGAGGUAAAGGCUCACCAAGGCGACGAUCAGUAGCGGGUCUGAGAGGAUGAUCCGCCACGCUGGGACUGAGACACGGCCCAGACUCCUACGGGAGGCAGCAGUGGGGAAUUUUGGACAAUGGGCGCAAGCCUGAUCCAGCCAUGCCGCGUGUCUGAAGAAGGCCUUCGGGUUGUAAAGGACUUUUGUCCGGGAGCAAAUACCCAGUGCUAAUAACGCUGGGGGCUGAGAGUACCGGAAGAAUAAGCACCGGCUAACUACGUGCCAGCCGCCGCCGUAACAC